UUUUUAUUUGUUUUAAUAUUAAUUUCAAUUAUUUGCUUAGCUAUUUUUCAUCAUCAAAAUCAAGUUCUUCCUCCAUCAUCACUAAUGUCUCCUCCAAGCCUCUCAACAGCUUCAAUUUCAGGAAAUAAAAACAAAUCAAUUGUUUUCAUUAUUUCUACCAAAAUUCAUAAUCUCCAUGUGUUCUUCACCUUCAAAAUCCCAGACCUCCCCUUCUCUUCACUUUCAUCUUCGACUUUUCACCUUGCAUCUCACUCCCUCAUUCUAGCAAUUCAACAUCAACAACAAAUUCCAAAAUUCUGGCAACAUGAACAAAAUUCAUCAACAAAAUCAAUCACCAUUCAAAACCCCAUAUUCUGGCCCAAACACAAAAAUAAAGUAUAGAACAAAGAAACGGAUCUGGAAGAAUCAUAAACGUGGGUUUCAAAUUUUUCCAAUCCAUCUUCAGAUAUUCUCUAUGUUUCGAACUUUUCGUUCUUCCUCAAUCCAAUAAUGCUUCCUCUUCAAUCUUCAGAUCUAAAUUUCGAAUCAAUUUAUGUCAUUGCAUUUUUGGGUUUUUUAAAGAUUUUAAUCAGAGAUUGUGGAUUUUAGAAGUUUAUAUUGUGGGUUUCAUUUAUGCAAUUUUCGUCACAACAAUUUGUGAAUAGGAAAAAGAAAAGAAAGAGAAACCGAGAGAGGUGAUAUGGAAGAUCAAGUUCUGCUUUGGUAUUGUUGUUGUUGGAUGUGUUUAUGAGAUUCAUUGAAGUGGGAAUGGAGCUAGAAAGCAAUUGGAAGGGCACUGUGUUAGAACUAGGAUAUGUGACUGAAGUGGUGAUGAAGUUCGUCCUCAUCCCCAAAAUCUUGAAUAUUUAUUUAUAAUUUUUUUUUCUGAUUUAUUGUUUUAUUUUAAUUUAUUUUUUAAAUAUUUUAAUCAGCUUAAAUGCCACAUGUAUCACUUCUGCAUACUCAACAAGUGCCACAUCAACAAAAAUGUGCCAAAUCAUCCAAAAAAUGGGCCCGGGGACUAUUUUAAAAAACAAAAAAUUUUGCAGGGACGUUUUUCAAAAGUUUUUUUUACCAGGGACCAAAAUCCAAACUCGCUAUAUUUGCAGGGACCAAAAACAUAUUUUAGCCAAAAAAAAAUCCAAAACUAUGUUAAUCCUUGAUCAAAUUAAUCAAAUCCUCACAAUAUCAAAGAUGCUUCUCGCCUGAUCUGGCCAUUUCCAUUUUCUUCAUUUUCCUUUACCUCGUUUUCAACCAUAGUGAAACUCUCAACCUUUUUCUCACUACUGAAAUUGACCUAUAUUUUGAGAUUUUUGGGUAUAAUUGAACCAUUUCAAUCAUUAUGAUUUUAUGAGUUAUUGUUUUGGAAUUGACCCAUUUACUGGAAUUAAUCUCUAUGACAAGUCCAAAUUGACGUUGCUUCCUCCAAUUCAAGCACACAACCAAAUCAUUCCAUACGACAUUACGCAGCAGGAAACACCGUUCUUUAAGAUCUAGAAACUGUAAAUCCAAAAAAGCUGCCAUAACAGAACAACCUCUCGACCGCAAAACACAUUUUGUUUCCUUGAAAGCAAACGUAAUUGAAAAUUAACUGCUUCAAUCCAAAAUCGCCACCACCAGCGGCGCAAGAGAUGGUAACGGUGGAAAGAGGAAGGGAGCGGAUGAUGAUUCCAUCGGGUUCUAUGAGACAGAGGGUGGUGGCUUCGAGUUUUGCAUGGCGGUGGUGAUGUGGGAGGAGGGUGGGGGACGAGGGCAAUGAUGAUAGAGGGGCUGAUUGGGUGGGUGGUGGUGGUGGGGGAGGAGGACGAGCAGGUGACGGUGUGGAGGGAAGUGUUGGGAAGAGAGAGGAGGAGGAGGUAGAGAGAGAGAAAGUGAGAGAGAUCUGAUAGUGAGAGACCAUAAUAUUAAUGUGUUAUUCAUCUAAUCUGAUGGUCAUAAAAAAACUUGUGCAUGGUGCACAAAUACUAUGUUUGUGCAUACUAAAUACCACCUACCUCAUUUCCUUUGUAAAAUUUUGGUUGUCACAUAUAUGAAUGUUCAAAUAACACAACUCAAAUAAAAAACAUAGUUUAUGAACACCAUAUUCCAUUGCUUGGUAUUUGACCUAAUUAGCAGAUGCAUUACUGGAAGUUGAUCCCACAUGGUGUGCAAAUCUGCUGAUGGCGUAAUAUGAUCACGAAGCCAAGGCUAAUUCCAAACCAAUAAUUUUUAUUGAAAAAAAAUAGAUUUAGAAUAAAUAGCAUUUUUGUAAUAAUAAUAGUGAUUUUCUGGUCUUUAAUUAGGGUCAAUCACUUGUUGAAUUGAGGAAAAAGUAAUGAGACAUCAGACUUAGAUUUACUAUGUGUAUUUUGAAUAAUGAUCGACAAAGAUUAGAUAGUACAAGUAGCCAUCUAACGACCUAAUGGGAGCUCCCCAUACAUCCGAAUAAAUAUUCUUAAGAGGUCUAGUGCUCUCUAUACUAGAAGAAGUAAUGGACAAUUUAUGACUUUUUGAGGUAUUACAAGAGAUGCAUGGAGUGUUGAUACCGUGUUUUAUUUUAUGCAAAGAAGAUAAAUGUCUCAUGAUGCGAUCACUCGGGUGUCCUAGGAUGUGGUGCCAUGGUUGAUGUUUUGUUGUAAGGAAGGCUUUAUGGUUGGUGGUAGAUCUUGGGAGAUAGUAGAGCCCAUCCUUAUGCAUUCCUUUUAUAAGAGGAGCCCUUGUCUUCAAGUCCUUUACCAAGUAAUAAUCAUGAAAGAAUUCAAUAGAAAUUUGGUUAGUCUUGCAUAAGUUGGAGACGGAUAAUAAUUUGCAAGAAAUAUGAGGGAUAUGAAGAGCCACACCGUCAGCGUCAGUGAGGAAAGACAAACAGUGCAGAUGUGAAAUGGAAAAAAAAAAAAAAAAAAAAAAAAUCAAGUGCAGGAAGUGCAUCAUACAAUACAAUUUGGUGGUAUAACUAUUUGAUCACACGUUAGUUGAGCACAUGGCAUCCCUUGGAAUCAUUGUUUGCAUUCAUUUCGAGUAAAAGUGGACUUCUAAAUACCAAGUCCAAGCUAGAUAGAAAGCAUAUAAUUUUACAAGCAUCUACUGCUCAAGCAUCAAGUAAAAGCUUAAAACAUGAAAUAUAAAAUUUGAUGGUUUAAUAAUUCACAUCCAACCUUCAAAUUUCAAAUAAUUAAUUUAGCCAACGAAAUUCGGAAAUCCAACUAUAAGAUCGACCUUAGCAACUUUUUUUCACACACUAGUUUUCAUGAUACACAAUAUAUCCAAAAGACUUCCAACUUACACGACUUGCCUAAAUUCAAAAGAAUAGUUCAAGAUUGUAAUGUACAAUAAACUGAUGUAGGGAAGAACAUGAAAUAGAACAAUAUAUUCCCAAACAAAAUGUACAGAAGUUUCUCGAGGCACAACGGGCAUUUCCUUUGUGAAUUCACUGGGAAAGACAUACAAGGCGAUUUCAUGAUCCAAGCUGCAACAUUCUGAACUUUCAACUGGUUGGUUGUCUAAAUUAUGGGAUUCUGAGCUUUCUGGGGUAGGAUUGAUGUCACUUUCUGUAGAUGGGUUUUCCGAUCCUCCCCUAUCAUCCUUAUUCGUAUCAUCUUUAGGUGAUUUGUCAGAGUCAUUGUCGUCAUUCUCUUUGCUAGGACUUCCUCCAAUAUCACCUUUAGGAAUACCGUGAACCAAAUCUGGCCGAGCUUCCACACCAACUCGCCUAAGGUGCAACUACCAUGAUAACAGACAAAGGUUAAAACAUAAAUCCAUGAGCCCAACAUGCCCCAAAUAUGAAAAAUGGGAUACUUGCAUAUAUACCUGAAGAUGUAGGUUGACUUCAUCUGGUCGUGAAAGGAAAGGAAAAUCUCCACCCGUUUUCAAAGAUGCGCGCCUUGCCUCAGGAUAUCUUUCACUCAAUUGUUCUUUUAGUUGAUGAGGAAUUGCGCAGUAGUCAUUAGUCUUUAAGAAACAUGCAAGACAAGUAGAUUUAUAAAAGAUGAAACUUGAUUUAUAAAACAUCUCACAGCAUACUAGUGUCAUAAUCCAAUGGCAAACUAGAAAAUAGGUCAUACACAAUAAUUACAACAUUAGACAUUUUCAUCACGAAGUCACAGGCAAAAGAUAGAUGUUUAUUGUGAGAAGUCACAGGCAAAAGAUACAUGUUUAUGGUGAAUUUUGAAAGCAAUUGCCAGUAGAAUGUAAUAUAUCAGCUAGAGGAAGGUAUUACAGAACACAAAGCUUGUACUAAGCCCACAAAAGCAAUAAGUUAACAAAUUAAUCUAGAAGGAAAAUAACAGACUGAAAUGGCACCAUGAAAAAAAGAAAUUCAUUUCAGAAGGGAGUGAUCUGCAUGAUAAAGAAAGGAGCAAAUUUAUACUAAGACGACAUACAUCCAUUAUAGUGAUAAAUGAAUCUGAAAGAAGAAGGGGUUCCACUGAAGCAUCAUCUGUUGUCAGCGACAUUCUGGAGGCCAAGUCUUCUCUAGAAAGGGUUUCCACCUGAAUAUGUCACACAUUGCAGAAUCAAAUAAAACAAUCAAGUUAUCUAAGACAUGUAAUACAAAAUUAUACAAGUUCAUCAUUACAGGAUACCGAAAUGCAUUUUAAAAGAAACGCACAGGUUUAUCAUAUGAACUCUAUUUGUUGUCCAAAAACAAGAAAACUUCUAGCAUACAAAGAGGAAACAGUAGCAGACUAUUAAUAAGCAUGAGAUUAUGCAAGAUAAAUAGUACCUGAGAAACAACAAAGUCAACUGAAUCCGCAAUAAAUGGUUCAUGGGGACCAUCACGAAUUCCUGUUAAGACAUACCGCUUCAACAAAAAAGAAGGCGUCCAACUAACACUGUAAAUGCAACAGUAAAACUGGACCAAUUAAUGGUUGGAAGACAUAAUAGAUCUAGUGAAGAGCUAACAGAAUAAAUAACGAGAAAUGCUCAAGCAAAACGGAUUGUAAAGAUUUUUUUUUUUUGUACAAAAAAGUUUAAGUGGAUGGCGUAUUGCCUGCUUCCAAGGUAAUGCAGGACAUAUAUAUCACCACGGGUUCACAAUAGUAAUUACAGAUGUGCAGACUGCAGAGUGAAUGGAAUAUUUAAGAGUGAUGUGUCUACUGCCACAGAAAUAAAUCCAUUAUUUAAAUAUAUCAUUCUAAUUUCUGUGAUUAAUGUGACUGUACCUAUAACAAUUUAUUUACAAUGCAUAGAUUUAUAUUUGUGUAGGAAAUGUAAUCAUUGAAGCAUUUGUUCGCAAGAAAUUACACUAGGUCAGCACACAUCUUAGUUUAUCUUUCAUUAAUGGAAAGGACACAAAACCACAGACAAUUUUCUCAUUUCUAGUCUAUAUAUCUAUAAUUACUCUCUACAACAGAAUUUGAGACAAGUACAUUGGUGCCCAAGGCAUUGCAGCAGAGAAACUUCGUGUCUCCAAAAAUGAAUUUGAUAAAACCAAUGACCGAACUCGUCUUGGACGAUGCUGAGCAAAGAGCUGUGCUAGGAAGCCACCAAGUGAUGUUCCAUAAAGAUGUACCUGUGACAGAUUAAACCAGUUUGCUAAAUAUAUGAUAUAGUAGUUAAUAGCGGAUAGCGGCGCGUAGCAGCCGACCCCAAAAAUGCUAUAGCGGGAUAGCGCAUAGCGCUAUGACUGCUAUUUCAUAAAAACAAAAACAACAAAAGUAAGGAAACAGAGAGAGCAGAAUAGAGUUUUAUAUGAACAAAACAGAGGAUUGUUUGUACAAACUACAAACAAAACAGAGAGAGCAAAAUGGAAUUUGGAAUCAAUAAUAACAAAGAAAGCUAGAACAAAAAAGUAACAGGACAACAGAGUUUUGAGAUUGUUAAACAAAAAAAUAACAGGAUAACAGAGCAAACACGACAAAGUAGAGGAAGAUUUACAGCAGAGGUGAAAAAGUUUUACAGAACAGCAGAAAAGCAGAGGAAGAUUUACAGAAAUACCCUUGUUUUUUUUUUAAAACCAAGGACAAUUUUGUAUUUUCUCUUAAAAUGAAAUAGCGGUUCUAAACCGCUAGGAAGCGUUGCGCCGCUAUCUCACACCGCAACGCUAUGGAUUGUUGUGUAGCGCUCCGGCACCGCGCAGCCGCUAUAGCGGCGCUAUUGGUCGCUAUUGACUACUAUAUAUCCAUAAGUUGUUGAACUCAAACCUAGUAUGCACAGCUAGCAGGGAAGCUUGUUGUUAAAGCUAAUAAGAGCAUGUAUCAAGUAAAGCACAUUUCCUCCUCAACAGUCACAUGAACAAAACAUUCAGAUGUACGGUUAGCUAACUUUCAUUAUGUAAGGAAUUAUUCCAAUCAUUCAUAGAAUUUACUUGCAGAAGAGAUUUAACCAUGCAGAGAUUAGCAAUGAAAUAUAAAAUUAAAGGACCGGAACUCAAAUCUUAACCAAAUAAAUCAUAUUUACAGAAACAAACUAUAUCCUUGCUGAAAUGCUAUCCGUUGGAAGUUGGAAUAAUUGAACUUUCGAUAAAAAUAGACCCAAGACUUAACUAAAUAUCAUGCUAUAAAUUGUAACCGCUAGUAUCUCAAAUAAUCAUUAAACCUUUAAAAUAAAGUAGGCUAGCAUGCAAUUUCGGAAGAAUAGCAAUUUAUUUAGGCUCACAUGCUGGAUCUUAAAAUCUAAUACAAAAGGACUUGGCUUCAAAAAUAUGGAGAGGAAAAACACGUCAAUUUAAUUUAUUGUAAACAAAUUCAUUUGUAAUAGCAAUUUAAAUUUUUAAGUGAGCAUCUUCAAAGAAGCUCUUAAAACUGAACUCCUUGGGCUAAUGCGCCAAGAUUGCAAUUCCAUACUUGGGCUAACUCUCCAAGAUUUUUAGUUAAGGUUAGACUUGGGUUGUUUGGCCAACCCAAAUUCUAUAGCAUGUGUAGAAUUCUUAGAAAUAUCAAGGAGUUAAUAUAGACAUCCCACACAAUAUCCAAGGUUAGAACAUGUUAAAGCUCUUAACACAAUCAUAAAAGUACGCAAAAAUAACUUUCCCCUAAGAGAUGAACAUCAGAGGAUGCACAAAAUUGAAAAGUUGUUAGAAGCUCAAGAGAAGUUAAAAUAACUCUUUAAACUAGCUGCAAACUAUCAAAAAAGAGUUUUCAAUUAAUUGAAAUGCUCAAUUUGUUCAACAAAGGGUACAUGUACCAGUGUUUGAUACCAAAUAAAGCACAAUCGCUCCAAAAACUAACAAUUUAUAUAUUCAGCAUCAAAGUGAGAUAAUAUUUAGUAAAACUCUCCAGAUGAAAGACAAUAGAGAAUGCUAAGUAACAGUUUGAUAGAAAAAUUGAUAGUACAAUGCACAAUGGAGGUUUGAGGAGAUCAUACAUGGUGCACAUCAAUAGCAUCCAAGAACUUUUCAAAUGCUUGAAUCCACUCGGUGUGAUGCCAUACACGAGGUAUAUCUACAGAUAUGACACGGUAGCCCUGCAUUAUAUGAACACACAGGUAACUCCUUGAAGAAUUGCAAUACAUGAGGAUUAUUGAAAGUAUACAUGGGCAUACAAUCAUCAAAUAAAGUGAAUUCCAGUAAACUAGUGUUAGCAGGCAACAUACGACAAGAAUAUUUUAUCGCAUAGUGCUAUUUAUUACAAAGGACGUUAUACAUAACGUAUUAAUGAUGCGCAAUCAUCGGUUAUAGAGACAGUUAUACAUAUUUUGUUGCAUGGUGCUAUUUAUUACAAAGGAUAUUUUGUCGCAUACAUCAGUUCUAGAGACAGGUGCACAUUAUUAAAUACAUCACAAUAAAUAUCUUUCAUAUAAAGUGAGGGAGCUAUUUUUAUAAAAGCAUGAAGGGAGCAAAACUUGACCAUAAAUGGAUAGUCCAGAACUCAAGAGUUAUUUAAUGAUCACAUGACCACUUGAAAAAAUCACAUACUUGGUUUUAAUCUUGACCAUUUUGUCAAAUCUAAUCUUAACCUCCUAUAUGUUGUAUGGCCAAUAAUUAUUUUUGUCGUGGCAGCAUGCUUUCACUCAAUACGCCCAUAUGUGUUUGCACGUGUGUUGGAAACCUGGAAGGAGUGCCACAAAGCAUGCUUAAUUUGAGAAAACAUUUUUUUUGUUUUGUUUUCAAUUCUUGUUUCCGCUAACACGUAGACAAAGUAUCACCUAAUUUUCGUUUUAUUUAUCGUUUUCAAAUAUUUGUAUAAAAAACUGUUUCCACUCUUUCUUUACAAACUUUUGCAAACAAAGAACAACUAAAACAUGGUGACACUUCUAUAAUUGAUAGUGAUAGAAGAAAUGAAAACAAAAAAGGCAUUGUCAAACCAAAACAACCGUUACAGUGAGAACAAAGUGAACAAAAAUCUUAACCAUUGAAUCAUACAUUUAUAGUCAAACUUAGAUGAUAUAGCAGUCAUUCAACUUUUUUAAGCAGCAAGUAAUCAUCAAGUAACUUCUAACAUCAACUACCCAAGUAAGAUGGCAUGUUCAGCAUUACAUCUUUUCAACUUUCACUAUAAGGUAUUGCUCUCACUCACUUGAUGAAAUAGAAAUUGAAUUAAAAGCUCUAUAGUACCGAUACUUGUAGUUCUAAUCGAAGACAUGUCCAAUGUCAGUGUCCGACACAAAGACAUGUAAUUAUGUCAGUCUGGUGUCCGUGCUUCAUAGAAUUGAAUAUAAUAAAAGCAAUAGAAUACCUUGAUGGAUAAUGACAUAAUCUGUUUGUAGUAAACAUCAGCAGUUCCAGCAGUUCCAGGAAGACAUAUAAGUGGAGGUACAACUUUUGGACCGAAGUCAUAAUAUCGCCAUUGUUUUGUUCCAAUCUACAAAGAAUCAUCAGAUAAGAAUUAGCGUAAUGAAAAACCCUUAAUCCCCAAACUAGUGAAAUGAUUGAAUUAAUAAGUAAACAAAUUGAGCUGGAUCUAGAUAUUAUGUACGAAUGCAGAAAAAGUAGUAAAUUUGGAAGUUAUGGAAAAAUGAAGAAUGAAUUGGAAUUAUCGAGAAAGUAACAUACGGGAAUUUUGUGAAGAGGAACUUGAGACUUGAAGUGAACGUAAUCACCAGGCGCCGAAAAAGCGCCUUUCAUCGCUAACCUGCUGCUUUGAUUUUGAUUCUGAUUCGUUUACCCCAGGGAUUUGGUGUUUGAGUCUUUCACCGAUCUUUUUCCAAUACUUGCGAUUCAGAACACAACGAUGAUGAUGAUGAUGUACUAUAGUACUAUGCAUUAUUAAUUAAUAUCAUUGUUUUUUGCACGCAGGCAUAUACCAUUUCGUGAUUUUUGAUCUGAUCCAAUGAAAUUAGUAAUUACCCCCUGUCAAAUUUACUAAUUAAAUUUUCUUCUUUUCAUUACAGUUAUUAUUACGCCGCUUACAAACAAUCAUUUUUUCAUUUCGUGUUUUUUCCUUCGCUUUUUCUCGAUUUUUUUAGGUUUGUAAAGGGGAUUUUUUUUGCCCCACUUUUUAAUUCAUUGGAUCAAAUAAUAUAUCUCAUGCUAUUAAUAAUUGACAUAUUUUCUUUUUCUAAUAAAAUUAUUUUUAGAUGAGUUAGGGUUUCAGAACAUAAAAGGGUUGGGACAAACUUUAAUGCUUAAAAAAAUGCUUAAUGUAUUUACUAAUCAUCAACUAAUGAGACUCUCACAUCACAAUGAAAGUGGAGCCCACAUAUUCAAUUCAAUAUAUUUCAUUUUACAGAGAAUUCACUAAUACUUAACAAGUGCACUUAAAACUAUUUUUCUCUCUCAUUCAUUUAUACAUUUUUCUUAAUACGAAAUGAACUUUUGACUCAGUUAAUCUGGGACGGAGGGAGUAGUACCAUACAAACUCGCACAUUGAUGUAUUCAACCUUCUUCAAGUUGCAAUCUCCCACCAUCACAGUUAAACUUAAUCCAACAUUCACGCGGUGACUUCCUUCCAACCUAUGUAAACAAUAUCCUUUAUCCGAGGUCUUCUAUAAAGAGGCUCCAAAUUGUAGUCUUCGAUGUCUCUAACAACAAUAAGAACUAAUAAUAAAUUUAAUGAUGAUAUUAUCACUCUCUUAAAUUUACUUCACAAAGUAUAUAAAUGUAAUAAGUAGUCUACAACGUAUGCAUUAUGUUUAUCUACAUGUAAUAAGAUAUAAGUUGUGUUAUUUAAACAUCAAAGUACAUACACUACAUAUGACAUUGUAUAUGUUUCUCUCAAUGUUUUUUUAAUUUUUAUCUUCUACAACCCACACACAUUUUGAAAAUAUACACAUUAUUAUGGAACACUAUAUUUUUUAUAUGAAAAUUUGGAUGUCAAAAUACGAUUUCUCUAAGAUACGUGUAAACAUAUACCGUAGGGACUAGAAUAAAAAGUUUCAUAUAAUUUUUUUUUUUCAUAUACUUGUAAGACCUAAAAUAAAUGAUUUCAUAGAUAUAGGACUAUUUUUAAUUUUAUAUAUUUUAUGGAUUAAAUAAUAUAAAGAGUAAUAGUUUUAUUAACUAAAUUGGUGAUUUUUCUUACUUUCAAAUAAUCUAGUAGUGUAACCGAAAAAAAAUAUAACGAUAAAAUUCAGACUUGAAAAAUUAAGAAUAGUAGGUUAAUGUUUGUACCCAAUAUAUCAAUAGUAUAUUUUAUCAUUUGAGUUGUAUUUAUAGGACCUAAAUUAUUAACUUAUUCUUCUGCUAAGAGCAUCAUAUGUACAUACAUUUUUGUCUUUAAGAAAAAACUCAUAUGAGCUUAUAUUUUUAUGUCAUUUUUUCAUAAUUUAUUAUUGUAGAGGUUAUCCACCGAAUAUUCUCUCUUCAAAUGUUUGUUAGCUGUCAUUGCACAGCAUAAAACCCAUCCCCUCUCUUGACUCUUAAUUUGAUUAACAUUCCCAAGCUAUCUUAUCGGGAUCUUUCAAUUACAAAAGCACCAUAAAAAAGUCUCACUAGAAACAUCAGUACAUCACUAACUGUCGUUUACUGUCUUUAAAUAAUUAUUUUUAUUUAAAAAAAAGCUUAAAUGCUCUUUUGAUCCUUUAACUAUUUAAUUGGUAUCGCUUUGGUCCCUUAACUAAAAAAAAGAUUGUUUGAGGAUUUUAAGUUUUUUUUUAGUCUCGUUUUGGUCCCUUCUGUUAGGUUUCCGUUAGUUUUAAUAAAAAACGUUAAGUGUGGACACGUGUCACCUUGUCAUUGGCUCUGAGAUUUUUUUUUUUACAAAAAAAAAAUUAAAAAAUAAUAAUUUUUUUGUAAAAAAAAAAAAAAAAACUCAGAGCCAAUGGCAAGGUGACAUGUGUCCAGAAGUUAACUUUUUUUUAAAACCCUAACGGAAACCUAACAGAAGGGACCAAAAUGAGACUAAAAAAAAACUUAAAAUCCUCAAACAAUCUUUUUUUUAGUUAAGGGACCAAAGCGAUACCAAUUAAAUAGUUAAGGGACCAAAAGAGCAUUUAAGCCUAAAAAAAAUUAUCCUUAAGUAUAUAUUUUCAAGUUAUUAGAUACAUAAAUAAUCGAUUAAAAUUUAUAAAAAAAACACCUCUAAUAAUUAAUAUACGAUAUUUUGGUGUCAUUGUUUAUCGAAAUUCAAUUUUAGAACAUUGGCUAAGAUCUGUCUUUCUGCUCUAUUGUAUUAUGAUAUUUUUAUAACUUUGUAGUGGCUGUUUAGGCACAUCUUGUACUUUGGUACUACUCGGUGUUGUGGUUAUUUAAUUCGAUUUUGAUUUCUUCAAUUUUUUUUUUUAUAAAAUAUGAUGCCACUAAAAAAACAUAGAAUAGAACAAUAUAAUGGACUAAAAUAUUUCAUUUUGUAUAAUGGACUAGAAACGUCGCAUUUUAAUAGAUGUUACCGUGUUCAUUCAAAAUCAAUUAUCAUCAACCAACCAAACAUACACUUAAAUAAUAUUGUCUGUUGAUUUGGAUCAAAUUGAUGAAAACCAUAACCAUGUAAGCGGCUACAACUGGGAAUCUAUUUCGCUCCUUAAAAGUGUCACUUCGAUUUUAUAGUUAAGUCUCAUCCUUACAAAAUGUAGGUUUGGCCAGAACAUGGAGUCUGUAUUUUAUGGCAAUCAUAUCAUAGUCAUAUACAUCGUAAAAGAAGCAAGCUAGUUCAUGAUGCAUACUUCUUAUGGACUUCAAAGUAUGGCUAUAGUAAAAAGUCUCAUAAAAAAAAAAAAAAAUUAACGAGUGCCUCUGAUGCACUCUUUAAGGCUAUAAAUAGCAAGUAUUUAUAAAAAAUGCAUGUAAUUAAUGCAUUGAAAAUUAAAAUAUUUUACUUUUUAAAGAAUAAUUGCUUGUUUUGGUAUGCUUAAAGAGUGCCCCAAAAACACUCGUUAACAAGACCAAAAAAAAAAAAAUAUACGUUGUCAAAAUUCAAAGCACCCAAAAGUUAUAACCAAAAUAUGUUUGUUUGUAUUAAUGCGAACACGGGUUAAGGAAGCCAAACAAAAAAAAAAUUUAAGUUGAAGACAACACUUUUUAAGUUUUUGAGAAGUUGAUUGUACAACUUUCAAUACAAUACUACAAUAUUUGUUUCCUUAACCAGUACCCUGGACAUCGGUUAACAUUUCCGUUAAUAUAAUCAUGAAUACUAUAAAGAAAGUAGUUCGAGUACUUGAAUUGAAUGUCACGCUAUGAGCAAGAAAACGUGUGCUAUAAGAAAUAUUAUAUGUGGUAGAUGACCUUCCAAUAUGUAAUGAGUGAGUGAGGUAUCUAAUGAGUAAUCAAAGCUUGAGGUACAAAUUUCAACUCAUCUCUUAAAUGAAUUAAAUUUCAGGGCCCAGAAGUUUGAUCAUUAACAGUUGACAUUUUACAUGUUUGGAGUUUGAUCAUUAACAGUUGACAUUUUACAUGUUUGGUUUAUUACCACUUUCAAACAAUAAACCCAUUGACCAUAUGAGGAAUAAGAACCAGUUGAGUCAUUAGUAAGUUUGGUACAAAGUUUCUUCAAUCACUAUCUGACAACGACCUAAGAAUUGCAACAAGAUUGCAUGUCAUCAAUCAAUCUGUACCAGAAAAAUGAAGCGGUACUAACUGAACAACUUAAUCAUUUUCUAAAUUAGCAUUGCAGUUAAUAUAUAACCAAAUGCUUCCUAAGUCACUGAGUUUGAAAGCAACAAUUUUGCCUUCCAAACAAAAGGAUGAUGUCCCCUGCAGAAUUACUACUGUCUAGUGUUUACCUACAUGGACAUUCCAAAAAUCAAAAGAAAUCCUGCAUUUCCACCGCUUAUUAGAGUAACUCUUUUAUAUAUAAUCUGCAGCGGUUUCCCUGUCAAGUUACUUUGACAAAAGCUUUGCGCUUCCUUGAAUUAGAAUUUGAAAAUCUGUGAGCAGUUUAAAGUGGAAAUGCUACUCAAAAUUGAUGUAUGCAUAUAAAAACCUUUCAUGACAAAGGUUGAGGUGAGACAAAGUAUAUGAUCUAAAUGUAAUGUGAUAGUUUAGAUCAAGAUAUGGGGCCAAACUGCCAAUGUAAUGUGAAAGAAACAUGUAAAUUUCUAGGAAGUAUUUGAUUGAAGUUAAUUGUCAUCAAACUUCCUUGAAUAAAUAAAUAUCAUUACAAUCCACAUGACUACAGGGUGACAUGACCAAUCAUCAAUAUUUAUCUAGAUUCAACUUCAAUGAUCACCUGUUAAGUACUCAAUCAUCAUCCUAAACUGGCUGCCAUAAAACGGCAUUUAAAUGUGAAAAACAAAUAGGCUAUAUGCUUCUACUAACUGUCACUCUAAAACUAAACAAUGCUUGUUAUGACAGAAACUUAUUUCGAACAAAUGUCAUCACAGGCACGACUUAUACCUGUACAUCGGCAAGCAGUAGCUAUCUUAUUUACAUCAGAAUCAAAGAACGACAAAAUCAUCUGGGCAACAAUACCAGUAUUAUACCCUCAAAGCAAAAUAACUAGUUAAUUCAUCACCAACUGACAAGCCAGCUUAAAACCCAAAAAACAAUGCAAAACAAGUACAUAAAAAUUACUAAUAAGGUGUUUGGAAGAGUUUAUACAGUAUGUCAGAUCAGAGCAUAAGCAUUAAGCACUUGAACUAAUAGUUGAAUGCUAGUGCACUCAAAAAUCAUUCAAGACAUAUAUUCAUCAGUUGAAUUGUACCUAUUUCAACAAGUUCCAGGAAAAACUUCUAAAUAUGUGUUUAUCAGGGCUACUUAUUGAUUUUUGAUAACAGCAAUAGAGGCUUCACUGAGCACAAUUGACUGUGACUCUUCGCAGAAUUACAUAAAGAUUGCAAUAUGACUAUAACCAAUAUUCAAAACCUUGGUGCUUAAUUGAUUACUCUAAAAAUACUACUAGCAUACUAGCAUAUUGAAUAAUUAAUUAAAUAAAUUGUUCAUACAAUCAAAUUCAGAGUACAAUUUCAUAUUACCAGGCAAUAAUCAGAAUCCUGAAUCUGAAUUCAAAACAUAAAAAAUAAAAUAAAAAAAGAGAGCAUAUCAUGAAACAUAAUUAGUAGAGUCAUAUCAAUUUGAUCUCUCAAAUCAGAAAUGAAGAAUGUACAAGGACUAACCUAGAAGGGGAAGACUAAAAAAAAAGCAAAUUACAAAAAGAGAAAAAUAAACUAAAAUAUCCAUUGUAAAAGAAAAGAAAGCAAUGACAAAUGCAGCAAAAGAAUCACCAAGAUGAAGAUCCCUUCUUGAUAGACCCAGAAGAAUAAAACUCAAGAUACCACUUCACAAACUUCCUCAACCCUGUUUCCAAAUCAAUGGUAGGUUUAUAACCAAAUUCCCUCUGAGCCAGACUAAUAUUAGCAUGAGUGAAUUUAACAUCGCCGUUUCUCGGCAUAGGAAGCACUCUCUUCUUUGCAUUAACCUUCAAAAGCUUCUCCAAAAUAGCAACAAGCUUACUCACAGGAACAGGUGAAGUAUUCCCCAAAUUAAAAACCCUAAAUUGAGCCGAACCCUUCUUCUUCCCACCACUCCCAGUACUCUUUUUUGCCGUAUCCAGAGCCCCUAAACAACCCUUAACAACAUCAUCAAUGUAUGUAAAAUCCCUAGCCACUGAUCCACCAUCUGGUGAUUCAAACACUGUUAUCUGUUUCCCCUUCAAAAUAUCCUUUGUGAAGAAGAAAUACGCCAUAUCAGGCCUUCCCCAAGGCCCAUAAACCGUGAAAAAUCGCAACGCGGUGAUUGAAAGCCCGUAGAUAUGAUUAUAAGUAUGUGCAAUUCCUUCACCGGCUUUCUUCGUCGCCGCGUAGAGACUCGCCGGUUGGUCUGUUCGAUCUUUCUCCGAAAAAGGAACCUUCGAAUUCAAUCCAUAAACGGAGCUGGACGAAGCCCAAACAAUUGCUGGUUGAGGAUUUGCAGAUUUACACGCUUCUAGAAGAACGGUGAAACCAGCGAGGUUGCUGUGAACGUAUGAGUUAGGGUUUUGCAUAGCAUAGCGAACACCAGCUUGUGCCGCGAGAUGCAUCACGUGAGUAAACGGAACCACAUCGAAAAGCUUCUUGAGAAGCGUACCGUCGUUGAUAUCACCUUCCACGACGAAAAUUCCGGCGCGUUCUAGAAGCUUCUGACGGGCGUGUUUUAGGUUAACAUCAUAGUACCGAUUGAAAUUAUCAAUCCCAAGAACACCGUCGCCGCGGCGUUUUAAAGCGAGUGCGACAUGACUUCCGACGAAACCAGCGGAUCCGGUGACGAGAACGAUUUUGUUGGAUGCCGAAUUCCGGCGAGUUGAUUUCGACACAAGACGUUCCCAGUGAGAACCACCCCAUGAGUCACCGAGGACACGGCGGGGUGCGGUGGUUGACGGUGGUGGAGGGUUGAAGGUGGAGAAUAAAAGAAAAACAAGAAAAGCGGAUAAGAGAAUGCAGAUGAAUGUGUAUCUUGAAUGUGGAGGGUGGAUUCUAAAGCGGUGAUGAGGUUUAUCCGGUUUUAAUUUCCCCGGUGUUGAAGGUGUUGUUUCGUUAUUCACUUGCUGCGCCAUAUUAUUAACUCUCUAAACCCUCACCCUUUCUUUUACACUGUCACCACUGAACUGGUUAGACGCGUUUUUUUAUUUAUUUAUAGACCAGGUUUAGGCGGUGGGAUAAAUAUGGCAUGUAUGUAUGGUAGAAAAUUUCGUAAGCAAAUUAAAUGGAGAUUUCAGUCAUUUAUUAGCUAUGAUUAAAAUGGGCCUAAUUUAUUAACUACUCACACGGUUUAUACAUCAAAUCAGUCAUUAAGGAUGGAUUUGUGUUUUUUUAGGAAAUUAAUUGGGUGCAAGGGAAAUUUCGAUCUGGCUGACCUAAAUGAUUUUUCAUUAAAAUCCGUUCCGUUUAAAUAUUGUGCCAGUGCAACACAGUUGUUGAGCUGUAACGAUGGGUGAGUUUUCUCUCGUGUGUGUUAAUCAAUCAGUGGGUGAGCUGUGAGCAUCUGUAACAAUAUGUCAAUAUCUGUAUUUUAACCAUCCUUAAAAAUUAAAAAUUAAAGGAUUCAUUUUUUGUAUUUUAACCAUCCUAAAAAUUGUCGUGUUUAGGCGUUAGCUAGCCAUUUUUUAUAUUUUGUGUGAACUGUUUAUAUUUUUAGUAGUCUUUUUGAUACACCUUAAACUGAGAGGCUGUUGUAGCCUCGUGUGAACUUAAAAUUUUUACAUUUAGCUUAUUGACUGAUAUUCAUAGUAUAUUGGUUAACACGACCCUAACAAAUAUUUGUAUUUUAACAUAAAUAUAAGAGUUUGCAUGAUUUUUUUUAGGAACAUUUUGUAUGCAUUUUGUAUGCUCUAAACAUGUCUCCAAUCAAAUAAUUUACAUACCAUUUUAGGAGACUCAUUAAUAUUUCGCGAAUUUUAAAAUAAUCAUUUCAUUGUAGACUAUGUUAUUCAAAAUAGUUUUUUACAUUAAAACGUUUUUUUAAUAUUGUCAUAUUAACCCUUCAAUAUAUUUACCAAUUGUCUUAUCGGUCUCUAUAUGUAUUUAUUUAUUGGAAAAUACUUGGGUGACAUAGAGUUGGGUGACAUUGGUCAAUCACAAUGCCACAAUGCUUGUGUUUCUCUCUCUUUCACAAGCAUUGUGACAUUGUGAUUGAUCAAUGUCACCAAUGUCACCCAACUCUAUGUCACCCAAGUGCUACCCUUAUUUAUUGUCAUAUCAAUCAUUGUAUGAAAUGAGUUAAUAUCAGCAUUGAGAGACUAUUUUAAUGUCAGAGACUAUUUUAACUAACGAAGUGCAGAAUCAAAAACUACUUUGAAAUUUCGAUACAUUAAAGAAUUAUUGUGGCUACUCAUUACACAUUCAAUAAUCAAAAUGACUAUUAUCCCGGCGAAUAUAUGAUAUAUAUUUGCUGUCAAUAAGUGUGGUGCUGUACACAAUACACCAUUUUUUGUCUUCUCAUCUCUACCGUUGAUUUUACAAAUUUACAAUAUUUGAUGAUGGACUCUCUGCACCUUAUCUGACCAUCCGUUUAUCUUUCCUUUGUAUAAUAUGGAUCCUUUGUAUGAUAUGGAUUCUUCACAAAUUUUAAUUUUCCAUACAUGAUACAUUCUCUACACCUCUCUGUUUCAGUUUUUAUUUUAUUUUUAUUUUUUAAGGUGAUUAUGGAGAUGAUAACCUGGAUAAAGGUACAAUACAUGGAAGGAAGAAUGUUUGCAUUUCCUCAUAGCAAGUAAAGGGGAUAUAUUGUUUUCUAAGUUAGAAUGAGUACUCUUGUUCAUGGGAUUUUAAAGGGUAGAUCAGAAGUAAUACCAAAUUUUCUUCUCUGGAAAUUCAGAAGACAGAAGAUAUUGGUUGACAAUACUCCUUGGUGGAAGGUAGUGCCUUUCAGAUUAUGCAGUAUCAAAUCUUAGGCCUACAUUAUUACUUCCUUGUUGCAGUUGACUCAUCCUCAAGUAACCCACAACUAAAUGAAAGUUUUCAUUCCAGUUUUAUGACUUAAAACUAUUUUUAUUAUCUCAAAUUCAACACAUUAUAGACAACUGAGAUAAAUACUUUGAUCGAAAACAUUUGAAAGAGAAUGAAUUUGCUCAUUAAUAUACUUGAUACAUAAAUAGCAAAUGAUUAUAUCAGCAUUGAGCAGUGAUUUCGUAUUCCCUUGAUCAAUAUAGAGUAUAUUAUAGGCGGUGAUUAGGGUGGUGAAAUACCUCAGAUGGUCUAUGGUGGAUUGAUUCCUGAAAAUCGCUCAAAACUCUAACAAUGAUCGAUGAAGCUCUCCGUAGUUAUAAGCUCAAUGUAUUUAUGGUCCUCACAAUUGAGAAAGUGACACAAUCAAUGUUUGUUCAAUAAAAAAACCAGGAAACCAACCAAAUAUUAGUUUCUCAAAACCCAAUUUAUUUUUGUUCGCAAUCAACACCGAUCAUGGUACUAUCUCAACCAUACUGACAUGGAGAACCACAACUUCUACUUAAAAGCUGUGACGCCGAACAUCAUUGAAGUUUUGAACAAUUUUACAAGCAUCAACAAUCGUAGAAUACACACACUUUCCCAACCUACCAAUUGCUUAUAUGAUAAUAUGAAUAGUGAAUAUAAUAUUCGAUUCUAUUUAUAAAGAUCUGGAUUUGACAGUCGUGGUGUGGGUAUGGCAAGCAGAGGUGUCUUCUUUUUUAGAACAAUACCAAAUUUCUCCGACACCUCCAGAUUUUCUCCUUGAGGAACUGUCCAAUCAAACAAGUGCACAAGGGUGGCUACAAAGUACAAAACCGUCCUCUCAGCCAUUGCUAUUCCGGCACAAAUCCUUCUUCCAGAGCCAAAAGGGAAAUAGUUGAAGUCAUUCCCACUAUAAUCCCAUUUACCAUCCAAGAACCUUGUAGGAUCAAAUUCUAGUGGGUUCUCCCAAACAUAAGGGUCUCUAUGAAUAGCCCAAACGUUGAUAAAGACACGAGAUCCCUCUGGAAUUGUGUAGCCUCCAAUGUUGGUGGUUUCACUUGGGCAGUGAGGGACUAAAAGUGGAAGUGCAGGGUGUAAACGAAGAGUUUCUUUCAUCACUGCAUGUAAGUAGGUUAGCUUGUGAAUAUGAGACUCUUCUACUAAGUUAUCUUUUCCAACCACAGUUUCUAACUCCUCUUGAACCUUCCUCAUCACUUCUGGUUUGUUCAUCAUUUCUGCCAUUACAAACUCAAUUGUGUUGGAGGAUGUGUCUGAUCCACCCACUACCAUGUCCUGUUUAUGUUCAUCCACAAUAUUGGUAAAACAAAAAAUUCAAUGUCAGUAAUCAAGAUCUUGGUAUUUUAAAACUUGGUACAAAUUGUUGUCUACAUUUUGUUUGAUUAAACAUGAUUUUAAAAUAACUUAAUUGUACUUUUGAUACUUAGUAUAACACGAUUGUCCUAUUUUAGUGUUCAAGUUUGAAUUGUACGAUUGAGUCCUCUAAAUAUUCGUGAUUAUGCAACUUCGGUCCUCAAUGUUUUAAUUGCGCGAAUUGAAUUCUCUAGGUAUCCUAAUUAUGCGAUUUUAAGUUUGCAAAGUUCUAAUGGUGUGAAUUGAAUCUUUUAGGUAUUGCGAUUUUGAUCCCUACAUCCCAUUGUUGUUAAAUUUCUGAUCGAAAUGCUAAUAUAUCUAUUAUAUAUAGGUAUGACCUUCACAAAUUUCACAAACAUCACAUUUUAAUAAGAAAUUGAACCAAUUGAGGAAGCAAAAUCACAGAAUUCUGAUAUCUAGAUGACAUAAUUCCAGCAUUCAAAUAAAUAGAUGACUAAAACUGCACAAUCAUGAUAUUUAGAGAAUCCAUUUUGUACAAUUAGAACAUGAAAAGGCUAAGAAAAGACUCAAUGCAUGGCAUUAGAAUUUGUGGGACCAACACCAAACAAUCCAUAGUGCAACUAUGCUUUAAGAAAACAAUUAAAUAUUUGAUUACUUCAAAUCCAAUGCAUCAAACCUAUGAAUGUUAUAUUACUAAUCCUAUAUUGCAAAAAAAGUGUGAAGAAACUAAAACAAGUUGUUGAACAAAAGUAGCAUACCAUGAGUAGAGCCUUAACAUGAGUAUUUGUAAACGGUGUCUUAGAAUCACCCUCCUCCUUCAAAUUCAACAAAAACUGCAGAAAGUCCCUACUCCCAUUAUUCUCCUUCCCAUCCUCUUCCUUCUUCAAUCGUUCACCAAUCAUCUUCUCAAAUAUCCCAUCAAAGCGAGGCACCAAAGCAUUCAUAUCUUUCACAACACCCUGCAAAUCAAACCGGGCCAACCCAGGAAAAAAAUCCGACAAAUUCGGCUUCCCCAAUAGCUGCACCAUCUCCGCCACCGCCUCCCUAAACUCCGCCCCUAAACUCUCCCUCUCUUCUCCUUCCACCCCCGCACCCCACAUCAUAUUCGUAAUCACAUUCAACACCGUUAAAAAAACCUGCUCACCAACAUUCACCGUUGACCCUACCCGAUCAUGAAUAUACCCGACCGUUUUCCGAACCUCACCUCGUCGGAGCUCGUAAACGGAGUCAAGAGUUGUGUUACUAAGCAUCUUCACGACACAGAUUUUUCUCAGCAUACGCCACUGUGGACCGUAGGGGGUCCAUACUAUAUCGUUGCCGCCGUAAGUGGCGGCUCUACCGGCGGCAGGGACGUCACGGUUGGCGAAAACUGUGUCGUGGUCUUUUAGAACUUGGCGUGCUGUGGAAGGUGAAGUCAAAACAAUACCGAGUUUGCUUCCGAGCCAGAGCUUGUAAAUUGGGCCGUGGGCUUGGGCUAGUCCGGCGAAGUAAGUGUGAAGUUCUGGGUCGAGUGAUAGAAGGUUUCCGAAGAUGGGAAAGCCCGGUGGGCCUGGUGGUAGGUUUUGGGUUUUAGAUUUGAAGAAGUAGAGAUAUA
rnacentral:lncRNA from 1 species